rnacentral:rRNA from 1 species
UACGAGGGGGGCAAGCGUUGUUCGGAAUUACUGGGCGUAAAGCGUGCGCAGGCGGUUCUAUAAGACAGAUGUGAAAUCCCCGGGCUCAACCUGGGAACUGCAUUUGUGACUGUAGAGCUGGAGUACGGCAGAGGGGGAUGGAAUUCCGCGUGUAGCAGUGAAAUGCGUAGAUAUGCGGAGGAACACCGAUGGCGAAGGCAAUCCCCUGGGCCUGUACUGACGUUCAUGCACGAAAGCGUGGGGAGCAAACAGG